UCACUUCUACAACAGAUGAAUUCUUCCAAACGUUUAGUCAGAUCACAUCUGUUAUCUCAACUUCUUCUAAAUCAGACUGACAGAUGUAAACCCCUCAGCACAUCUGUCACGUGUUGUUCAACCUUGUUCAGAUCUUUCCCUAGCUGUCAACCAUUAGACAGAUCUGUCACUAGCUGUCACAAACUACGUUCCUUGUCUUUUAGAUUUUCAGCCGGAAACUCUUCAAUUUCCUCAACAAGGCUUUUUAGUUUUUCAAGCGGACUCAAUAUGCCAGUAUCUGCAUACACAGCUGUAGAGAGGGGUACUUCCCAUUCAGAUAGUUACAAGGUUUUUAUCCGAGAUGAUGACGGUCCUAUCUCUCCUUUUCAUGAUAUUCCUCUGGACGCUAAUGUUGAACCUAGAACCUUCCAUAUGGUAGUGGAGAUUCCAAGAUGGACAAAUGCUAAGAUGGAAAUAGAUACAAAAUCUGCUUUAAAUCCAAUUAUUCAGGACCAGAAAAAGGGAAAACUGAGAUAUGUUGGGAACUCGUUCCCUCACCAUGGAUAUAUCUGGAACUAUGGAGCCUUUCCUCAGACCUGGGAGAAUCCAAACCACGUAGAUGAGAAUACCGGAGAAAAGGGUGAUAAUGACCCAGUUGAUGUUAUUGAGAUUGGACACAGGGUUGCUAAGCGAGGAGAUGUUCUAGAGGUCAAAGUUCUCGGUAUUUUAGCAAUGAUAGAUGACGGGGAAACAGAUUGGAAAGUUUUAGUUAUAGAUGUAACAGAUCCAUUGGCGGAUAAACUGAAUGGGUUAGAAGAUGUGGAGACUUUAAUGCCUGGGUUCCUUAAUCAAACCAGAGACUGGUUCAGAAUCUAUAAGAUGCCUGACGGAAAGCCUGAAAACCAGUUUGCAUUUAAUGGAGAGUUUAAGGAUGCUGAGUUUGCACACAAGAUAAUUGAUGAGACCCAUGUGUACUGGAGACAGCUGGUUGGUCUGGACGAGGUAGAGGAAGAUCCAGGAAAGCUUGAUAUUGGUUGUGUGUGCGUUGAAGGAUCUAACAAAGUUAUUACUAGAGAAGAAGCUGAAAAAGUUUUCUCUGAAACUAAGGAGUAUGUGGUAGGGGAGGAACCAGCCAGUACAGUAGAUACCUGGCAUUAUACGCAUUUAUUAUAAAACAGAUCUGCGCAUUUCACAGGAUUUUUUUUGCAAUCUUAAAAUCAUAAUUGAAGUUCAAUUAUUUAGAACAAUUUCCAGGAAAUUUUUGGAUCCAACACGAAAAUGGUUUUUGUUCCUUCCAUCUUAAAACCACCCCUCUUUUACACUUGGUAGCAUUUUAAUCCUCAGCUGUAUCAGACGUAUAUAGAGUGGUAAGCGAUUAUAUCAAUACAAUAAAGACAACUUUCGUUUUAAAUCUUGAGUUAUAUAAAGCUGUUAAACAGCAUGGGAUACACA
rnacentral:misc_RNA from 1 species